rnacentral:tRNA from 1 species
UCGGGGGUCGUCUAAUGGUAGGACAGCGGGUUUUGGUCCCGUCAAUCUAGGUUCGAAUCCUGGCCCCCGAG